GAAAUGCGAUAAGUAGUGUGAAUUGCAGAAUUCAGUGAAUCAUCGAAUCUUUGAACGCACAUUGCACCCCUUGGUAUUCCAUGGGGCAUGCCUGUUCGAGCGUCAUUUGUACCUUCAAGCUUUGCUUGGUGUUGGGUGUUUGUCUCGCCUCUGCGCGCAGACUCGCCUCAAAACAAUUGGCAGCCGGCGUAUUGAUUUCGGAGCGCAGUACAUCUCGCGCUUUGCACUCAUAACGACGACGUCCAAAAAGUACAUUUUUUACACUCUUGACCUCGGAUCAGGUAGGGAUACCCGCUGAACUUAAGC
rnacentral:misc_RNA from 1 species